rnacentral:lncRNA from 1 species
GAAGCCAGGCCAAGAAGAAUCCCAGGACUGGAAGGCCUUGUGGGACGUCCCAGGUUUGUCUUGUGUCAAUAGCACUGAUACUCAAUCUCCUACUCCCAUCUGUGAGCAUGCAGACCCUACUUGCCUUCCCACAGCCUCCCUUUUCAUAUUUUUCAUGUUUCUUUAGCUCUGUCUUCAAGCCUUGUUGCUCCCGCAAAAAAACCUGCCUCUUCCUCCAGUCCUCCCAAGCAGGGGGAACAGUCCUGACACCUUUCCAAGCCCUGGUCCAUGGACAUUGUGCCCCCUUCUCCCUGCCCAUGGUGACCUGCUCCAAAACCCUCAAGGAGAAGGGAGUGUAUGUCAUUUCCUCCCUGUAAAGUAAAGAUAAUUUUGCAGGGGACUGUGUGGAUGAAAUGACAUGAUGCAUGGAAAUCCCUUAGCGUGUGCCUGGCAUGUAAACUGCAGGUGUCAUCAUUAUUACUGAGGAAUACUGAGUCCCGAACAUGGCUGUCUCAUUGGUGGACUGGGGUCUCCCCCAGGGCAUUCAUCUACUAUGUGUUUAUUGCACCCUUUUUCCAUGUGAGGCACAUGCCAGGGACUGGGCACAUGGUAUGAACAAGACACAGGUCAUCGGUGUCCUCUUGAGCUCCCUGGCUUGGCAGCAGAUGCAUACCUGGGAAGGAUGCUAGGUCAUCCGGGAACUCUACCUCCUUCAAAUCCCUAAGGACUGUGCUCCCAAUCCGCUUACGCUCAAGGAAGAACUGGUCAGCCCUAGGUGCAGCUGCAACCUGAGGGACUUGUCCUGGGAUCAGACAUUUUGAGGACUUUCUUGACCCUUGGCUGAUAUCCUUGCAGGCAGGACCUGCAGCUAAGCAAGACGUAGGACUGCAAGCUGGGUUGGCACCCUCCCCCUAGGGAGUUCUCCAGGCCUUGCCCCCUCUGUCCCCAGCCUGGAAGCCCUCCCUGGUACCAUACCCCAGCCGAUGAGAAGGCCCAGAACCAGCCUGCUGUCAGGAUCAGAACAAAAGAGGAGGACUGCAUAUGUAUGGACCCACUCCAGAUGGCACGGGGACGGGGGGAGUAGGAAAAGUGGCAUGAGACCAGGCCCACAGAGUAUGGCUGUGCAAGUUGUUCACUCUACAAGGGCACCUGGCCGGGGUCUUACCUUGAAUGGAGGAGAAGAGCUUGAAGAUGAGGGGACAGGCCAAGACAACUACCUGGCCCCGAGGGGUGGCUGGCCAGCAGAUGAGGAAAUGGAGGCACAGACUGAUUAGAAAACCAGCUCAAGGUCAUGUUGCUGCUCUCUCAUUCCUGUUGAGGGCUCUCUGGUGGAGCCUCUGUCUCACAGGUCACCUGCAGGCCAACACUCCCAGAAGCAGCUAGCACCAUGGUUGACCUCGUCCAGGUCCAGGGAAGGCCUCCCUCUCCAGGACUCCUUUAGAUUUCCCCAGCAUCCAGACCUCACCUGCCUAAGUGCUGUUGCCCUGGAAGCCACAGUGAGCACGAGCUCCAUCUUGCACCUUUACCAGCCAAUGGGGGUAAAGACAUUAGCUGGGUUACUCAGGCUGAAAUGCUCAAGACACUCUGUCUCAAGGGAUUUGUGGCUGUUUCAUCCUCAAGUAUAGGGGGAAUAGUGGCCAGGAAGAUCUCAGAGGUGGCUUCUGGAAGAGGAAUCUGGGUACUGGCUACCCUGCCUUGUGUCCCAUCAUUGGUCUGUCUUGCCUGUCUUGGAGCACAUUUCUCACCAAGCCCCCUGCUGAAAUCAUGGGGUAAAAAAGAGACACAGGGGGAAUGGAGGAGCCAGAGAGAAAGCAGUGUGAUCACAGGCACACAGGACAGCAGCUCACCUUCCCAUCCUUGCUGGCUUUUGCACAAAUACUUCUAAGGGGCCAGGCGUGGUGACUCAUGCUUGUAAUUCCAAGCACUUUGGGAGGCUGAGGCAGGUGGAUCACCUGAAGCCAGGAGUUCAAGAGCAGCCUGGCCAACAUGGCGAAACCCUGUCUCUACUAAAAAUACAAAAUUUAGCCAGGCAUGGUGGCGGGAGCCUGUAAUCUCAGCUCCUAGGGAGGCUGAGCCAGAAGAAUCGCUUAAACCUGGAAGCUGGAGGUUGCAGUGAGCCAAGAUCACACCACCACACUCCAGCCUGGGUGACAGAGCAAGACUCCAUCUCAAAAAGAAAAAAAAGAAAAAAAGGAAAUACUUCUAAGUUAUGUGAGAGAGUACAUACUGACAUUUUCAAUGGGUACAAUAA